rnacentral:rRNA from 1 species
UACGGGGGGGGCAAGCGUUGUUCGGAAUUACUGGGCGUAAAGGGCGCGUAGGCGGCCUGCUAAGUCGGACGUGAAAUCCCUCGGCUCAACCGGGGAACUGCGUCCGAUACUGGCGAGGCUUGAAUCCGGGAGAGGGAUGUGGAAUUCCAGGUGUAGCGGUGAAAUGCGUAGAGAUCGGGAGGAAGGCCGGUGGCGAAGGCGGCGCUCUGGAACGUAUCUGACGCUGAGACACGAAAGCGUGGGGAGCAAACAGG